ACUCAACUCGGGAUUGGCACCCAGCCAGUGCCCUACACUAUACAAGAUGCCACUGUAGGGACAGGGAUGACCUCUAGCAAGGUGACCCUCAGUGGGCCAGAGGGGGCUUCUGAAGAGAAUUUCUCUAGCUUCUUGGUGUUUCCUGCCUGCUACUUUCAAACAAGGGUCCCAUUUUUAAUGUUUUCCCAGUAAUACCUUAUGAAUGUUAUUGCAAAGGUAAAGGAAAUUAUAUUUUUGCUCUUAUUGUUGUUCACUCUACUCCCAUUUAGCAAUUAACAUUGAAAGCAGCGGGCUAAAUCAACACCACAGGCCCCGUGAUCAAUAUAUGUGAUGAGGACAUUACAUCCUGGUGUUGUUGCCCCAAGUCUUGACGUGAAUCUGACCACAAGGACAAUUCGGACAACCUGAAAUGGUGACGCAUUCUACAAAAUAAACAUCAAUGUCAUGAAAGACAAAGACUCAAGAUUUUCUGCUUAAUGGAGACUAAAGAGAUGCGACAACAGAAUGCCAGGCAUGAUCUUGGAUAUUCUUUUGGCUCAAACAGUCUUAGGACAAUUGAAAAAACGUGAAUGAGGUCUGUAGCUAAUAGAAUUGUGUCAAUGCCACAUCCUUGGUUUUGUUAAUUGCAUUGUGGUUACAGAAGAGAAUCCCUUUGUUUUCAGGAAAUGCACACAGCAGUAUUUAAUAGUAAAGGCACAUCUUGUCUGCAA
rnacentral:lncRNA from 1 species